AGUCGAUGAUGGGAGCUAGCUUGCUAGAAGAAGUCAUGGCGGACGGGUGAGUAACGUGUAAAGAACUUACCAUAUAGACUGGGAUAACAGAGGGAAACUUCUGAUAAUACUGGAUAAGUUAGUAGUAGCAUUACUAAGUAAUGAAAGGUAGCAAUACGCUAUAUGAGAGCUUUGCAUCCUAUUAGCUAGUUGGUGGGGUAAAAGCCUACCAAGGCGAUGAUAGGUAGCCGGCCUGAGAGGGUGGACGGCCACAAGGGGACUGAGAUACGGCCCUUACUCCUACGGGAGGCAGCAGUGGGGAAUAUUGGACAAUGGAGGCAACUCUGAUCCAGCAAUUCUGUGUGUGUGAAGAAGGUUUUAGGACUGUAAAACACUUUUAGUAGGGAAGAAAGAAAUGACGGUACCUACAGAAGAAGCGACGGCUAAAUACGUGCCAGCAGCCGCGGUAAUACGUAUGUCGCGAGCGUUAUCCGGAAUUAUUGGGCUUAAAGGGCAUCUAGGCGGUUAAACAAGUUGAAGGUGAAAACCUGUGGCUCAACCAUAGGCUUGCCUACAAAACUGUAUAACUAGAGUACUGGAAAGGUGGGUGGAACUACACGAGUAGAGGUGAAAUUCGUAGAUAUGUGUAGGAAUGCCGAUGAUGAAGAUAACUCACUGGACAGCAACUGACGCUGAAGUGCGAAAGCUAGGGGAGCAAACAGGAUUAGAUACCCUGGUAGUCCUAGCUGUAAACGAUGAUCACUGGGUGUGGGGAUUCGAAGUCUCUGUGCCGAAGCAAAAGCGAUAAGUGAU
rnacentral:rRNA from 1 species